rnacentral:rRNA from 1 species
AACGAACGCUGGUGGUAUGCUUAACACAUGCAAGUCGAACGGGCAUAGCAAUAUGUCAGUGGCAAACGGGUGAGUAAUGUAUAGGAAUCUACCUAGCAGUAAGGAAUAACCCUGGGAAGCCAGGGCUAAUGCCAUAUAUUACCGGUUAGCAACAACCGGGAAAGAUUUAUCGCUGUUAGAUGAGCCUGUAUCAGAUUAGCUAGUUGGUGGGGUAAUAGCCUACCAAGGCAAUGAUCUGUAGCUGGUCUGAGAGGAUGAUCAGCCACACUGGAACUGCGACACGGUCCAGACUCCUACGGGAGGCAGCAGUGGGGAAUAUUGGACAAUGGGCGCAAGCCUGAUCCAGCAAUACCACGUGAGUGGUGAAGGCCUUCGGGUUGUAAAACUCUUUUAGUAGGGAAGAUAAUGACUGUACCUACAGAAAAAGCACCGGCUAACUUCGUGCCAGCAGCCGCCGUAA